rnacentral:rRNA from 1 species
GAUGAACGCUGGCGGCGUGCCUAAUACAUGCAAGUCGAGCGAACAGACGAGGAGCUUGCUCCUCUGACGUUAGCGGCGGACGGGUGAGUAACACGUGGAUAACCUACCUAUAAGACUGGGAUAACUUCGGGAAACCGGAGCUAAUACCGGAUAAUAUAUUGAACCGCAUGGUUCAAUAGUGAAAGACGGUUUUGCUGUCACUUAUAGAUGGAUCCGCGCCGCAUUAGCUAGUUGGUAAGGUAACGGCUUACCAAGGCAACGAUGCGUAGCCGACCUGAGAGGGUGAUCGGCCACACUGGAACUGAGACACGGUCAAGACUCCUACGGGAGGCAGCAGUAGGGAAUGUGACGCAAUGGGCGAAAGCCUGACGGAGCAACGCCGCGUGAGUGAUGAAGGUCUUCGGAUCGUAAAACUCUGUUAUUAGGGAAGAACAAAUGUGUAAGUAACUAUGCACGUCUUGACGGUACCUAAUCAGAAAGCCACGGCUAACUACGUG